GAAACAAAUAAACUAAUUGAUGUCUAAGGUAAGUGGCUAAUAGGAGCUUUUAAUUGAGACUGUUCUCUUUCUUGGCCAACUACGUUGGUAUUUAACUAAAGAACGAAAUGAGAACCCUCCCACCUAUCUCCACUUAUCAGGCCAAUGUGGUUGAUCUGAUUUUGAUUGGAUUACUUAAUGACUUGAGUUCACCUAUGCUAUCUAGAUAAAUCAGUUUUGACUGAUUUAGAUGCCCCUGGAUCGGCUUGUCUCUAGACUUUUCAUGACUUGAUGAAUUCAGUGAGAGAAUUUAUGACUUAUCGAUUAGACCAGCUUGUCUCUAGUCUUCUUCAUGAUUUAAUGAAGACAGUGAGAGGAUUUAUGACUUGCAGGUCUA
rnacentral:lncRNA from 1 species